GAUGAACGCUGGCGGCGUGCCUAAUACAUGCAAGUCGAGCGAACGGACGAGAAGCUUGCUCCCCUGAUGUUAGCGGCGGACGGGUGAGUAACACGUGGAUAACCUACCUAUAAGACUGGGAUAACUUCGGGAAACCGGAUCUAAUACCGGAUAAUAUUUUGAACCGCAUGGUUCAAAAGUGAAUGACGGUCUUGCUGUCACUUAUAGAUGGAUCCGCGCUGCAUUAGCUAGUUGGUAAGGUAACGGCUUACCAAGGCAACGAUGCAUAGCCGACCUGAGAGGGUGAUCGGCCACACUGGAACUGAGACACGGUCCAGACUCCUACGGGAGGCAGCAGUAGGGAAUCUUCCGCAAUGGGCGAAAGCCUGACGGAGCAACGCCGCGUGAGUGAUGAAGGUCUUCGGGUCGUAAAACUCUGUUAUUAGGGAAGAACAUAAGUGUAAGUAACUGUGCACAUCUUGACGGUACCUAAUCAGAAAGCCACGGCUAACUACGUG
rnacentral:rRNA from 1 species